rnacentral:miRNA from 1 species
CUUCAGGUCCCUGUUCCGGUGCCACUUGUUGGAGUCCGGCUCCGGGCGGGAGGGUUGAACCGGAUCCCUGA